rnacentral:rRNA from 1 species
UACGUAGGGGGCUAGCGUUGUCCGGAUUUAUUGGGCGUAAAGAGCGUGUAGGCGGCCAGGUAGGUCCGUUGUGAAAACUCGAGGCUCAACCUCGAGACGUCGGCGGAAACCCUCUGGCUAGAGUCCGGAAGAGGAGAGUGGAAUUCCUGGUGUAGCGGUGAAAUGCGCAGAUAUCAGGAGGAACACCGGUGGCGAAGGCGGGUCUCUGGGCCGUAACUGACGCUGAGGAGCGAAAGCGUGGGGAGCGAACAGG